rnacentral:rRNA from 1 species
UACGGAGGGGGCAAGCGUUAAUCGGAAUUACUGGGCGUAAAGCGCGCGUAGGCGGUCUGGGUAAGUCAGAUGUGAAAGCCCUCGGCUCAACCGGGGAACUGCGUCUGAUACUGCCUGGCUUGAGUCCGGUAGGGGGUAGCUGAAUUCCCGGUGUAGCGGUGGAAUGCGUAGAUAUCGGGAGGAAUACCGAUGGCGAAGGCGGCUACCUGGGCCGGUACUGACGCUGAGGCGCGAAAGCUAGGGGAGCAAACAGG